rnacentral:rRNA from 1 species
GAUGAACGCUGGCGGCGUGCCUAAUACAUGCAAGUCGAGCGAACAGACGAGGAGCUUGUUCCUUUGACGUUAGCGGCGGAUGGGUGAGUAACACGUGCAUCACCUACCUAUAAUUCUGGGAUAAUUUCGGGAAACCGCUUCUACUACUGGCUAAUAUGUUCAACGGCUUGGUUCAACAGUGAUAGACGCUCUUCCCGUUACUUUUAGCUGGUUUCGUGUCGCAUUAGCUAGUUGGUAAGGUAACGGCUUACCAAGGCGACGAUGCGUAGCUGACCUGAGAGGGUGAUCAGCCACACUGGAACUGAGACACGGUCCAGACUCCUACGGGAGGCAGCAGUAGGGAAUAUUGGACAAUGGGCGAAAGCCUGACGGAGCAAUGCCGCGUGAGUGAAGAAGGUCUUCGGGUCGUAAAACUCUUUUAUUAGGAAAGAACAAAUGUAUAUGAAUCCACCGCUGUCUUGACGGUACCUAAAGAAAAAGCACCGGCUAACUACGUG